rnacentral:snRNA from 1 species
AUCGCUUCUCGGCCUUUUGGCUAAGAUCAUGUGUAAUAUCUGUUCUUUUCAGCUUAAUAUCUGAAACGCUGCUCAUUGAGUAGCUUCGAAUAUUAAACUGAUUUUUGAACUCUUUGAAACACGAGCUUGCUCCGUCCAGGCCACGGGUUGACCUGGUAUUAUACCAACUUCAUUUUGAAUAAACUUAAA